rnacentral:rRNA from 1 species
AACGAACGCUGGCGGCAGGCUUAACACAUGCAAGUCGAGCGCAUCCUUCGGGGUGAGCGGCAGACGGGUGAGUAACACGUGGGAACGUACCCUUUUCUACGGAAUAACGCAGGGAAACUUGUGCUAAUACCGUAUGUGCCCUUCGGGGGAAAGAUUUAUCGGAAAAGGAUCGGCCCGCGUUGGAUUAGCUAGUUGGUGGGGUAAAGGCCUACCAAGGCGACGAUCCAUAGCUGGUCUGAGAGGAUGAUCAGCCACAUUGGGACUGAGACACGGCCCAAACUCCUACGGGGGGCAGCAGUGGGGAAUAUUGGACAAUGGGCGCAAGCCUGAUCCAGCCAUGCCGCGUGAGUGAUGAAGGCCUUAGGGUUGUAAAGCUCUUUCACCGGAGAAGAUAAUGACGGUAUCCGGAGAAGAAGCCCCGGCUAACUUCGUGCCAGCCGCCGCCGUAAUAC